GAUGAACGCUGGCGGCGUGCCUAAUACAUGCAAGUCGAGCGAACGGACGAGAAGCUUGCUUCUCUGAUGUUAGCGGCGGACGGGUGAGUAACACGUGGAUAACCUACCUAUAAGACUGGGAUAACUUCGGGAAACCGGAGCUAAUACCGGAUGAUAUUUUGAACCGCAUGGUUCAAAAGUGAAAGACGGUCUUGCUGUCACUUAUAGAUGGAUCCGCGCUGCAUUAGCUAGUUGGUAAGGUAACGGCUUACCAAGGCAACGAGGCAUAGACGACCUGAGAGGGUGGUGGGCCGCACGGGAGCGGGGACGGGGUCAAGGGUCCUGCGGGAGGCCGCAGUAGGGAAUGGUCCGCAAUGGGCGAAAGUCUGACGGAGUGACGCGGAGUGAGUGGUGAAGGUCUUCGGAGCGUAAAACUGUGUUAUGAGGGAAGAACAUAUGUGUAAGUAGCUGUGCACAUCUUGACGGUAAUUAAUCAGAAAGCAACGGCUAACUACGUG
rnacentral:rRNA from 1 species